AACGAACGCUGGCGGCAUGCCUAACACAUGCUAGUCGAACGAGACCUUCGGGUCUAGUGGCGCACGGGUGCGUAACGCGUGGGAACCUGCCCUUAGGUUCGGAAUAACUCCCCGAAAGGGGUGCUAAUACCGGAUAAUGUCUUCGGACCAAAGAUUUAUCGCCUUUGGAUGGGCCCGCGUUGGAUUAGCUAGUUGGUAGGGUAAAAGCCUACCAAGGCGACGAUCCAUAGCUGGUCUGAGAGGAUGAUCAGCCACACUGGGACUGAGACACGGCCCAGACUCCUACGGGAGGCAGCAGUGGGGAAUAUUGGACAAUGGGCGAAAGCCUGAUCCAGCAAUGCCGCGUGAGUGAUGAAGGCCUUAGGGUUGUAAAGCUCUUUUACCCGGGAUGAUAAUGACAGUACCGGGAGAAUAAGCUCCGGCUAACUCCGU
rnacentral:rRNA from 1 species